rnacentral:rRNA from 1 species
UACGUAGGUGGCGAGCGUUGUCCGGAUUUACUGGGCGUAAAGGGCGUGCAGGCGGUUUGUUAAGUGCAGGGUGAAAGCUCCCGGCUCAACUGGGAGAGGUCCUUGCAUACUGGCGAACUCGAGGGAGGCAGAGGAAAGUGGAAUUCCCGGUGUAGUGGUGAUAUGCGUAGAUAUCGGGAGGAACACCUGUGGCGAAGGCGGCUUUCUGGGACGUAACUGACGCUGAGACGCGAAAGCGUGGGGAGCAAACAGG